AUAAAGGUUUUUUUAAAAACCUCAAAAAACCAAAGAAAGCAUAGU
rfam:Glossina palpalis gambiensis isolate 146720 unplaced genomic scaffold Scaffold17, whole genome shotgun sequence.